AUAUUGUUAUGUGUGACUUUAAUACUGCCAUUUUGAUGCUAGCUGGCUGUUUUGCCCAUUAGUUGAUGCAGAUUCUUGUUUUUGUUGAUGCUCUUAAGUAUUUGGUAUGUUUUUAGAAUGGCUGGUACUGGUUGUUCCUUUCUAUGUGUAGUGCCUCUUUCAGGAGCUCUUGUAAAGCAGGCCUAGUGGUGACAAAAUCUCUGAGUACUUGCUUGUUUGCAAAGGAUUUUAUUUUUCCUUCACUUAUGAAGCUCAGUUUGGCUGGAUAUGAAAUUCUGGGUUGAAAGUUCUUUUCUUUAAGGAUGUUGAAUAUUGGCCCCCACUGAUGAGUUCAUGUCCUUUGUAGGGACAUGGACGAAUCUGGAGAACAUCAUCCUCAGCAAACUGACACAAGAACAGAAAAUGAAAUACCACAUAUUCUCACUCAUAGGCAGAUUCAAAGAGAUUCCUAAAAUCUCUUCUAUAUCUAAAAAGGAAGAAGGAGAAAAAUGGAAGGAAGAAGAAGGUGGGUUAUUCAAGAGCGGAAAACAUGGUUUUGGGAGAAAACCCGUCCACUUUCUAAAAAAUGAGAAAAUGCGUAAACAUUCAAUCCUCUCAAAGAGUGGGUUUCAAGAGAGGCUAGUUG
rnacentral:lncRNA from 1 species